ensembl:lncRNA LINC02028 long intergenic non-protein coding RNA 2028
GCGGCGGGGGAAACCCGAGCUCCCAACAAAACGGUUCCAUCUUUGGCUAGGCCUUUGGUAUUUCAAGGCGCUGCCGGUGGGGAGAGAUGCCGCGUGCCUGAGAGGCUCUGGGAGAUGUUAUGUGGUCAACAGGGACUGAGGCUCUUUAAGCCCUUAAAUCUCUAAGGGCUAAAUCUCCUUCCUGAUAUUCGCCCCCAAACCGGCACCAAAGAAGGCCCAGAGAGGUUUAACAACUUCCUCAGAAUCACACAGCUUCCAAAUGGUUGGGUUGGGUUUACAUUUAGGCGGUCUUGCUCCAGAGCCAGUGCUCCUAACCUUUGCAAGCCACGAACCUCAAGAAAGUGGAGAAGGAAACGCUGGGAAAUCUGGAAGUCAGACAUGGCAAAGAGCUAAUGCUGGCAGCUGUUGGGAUGUCCUCUUCCAGGAAUGGUGAUGAGUUUCCCUGGAUCCAGCCCUGGCUUGGCUGAGGUCCUUGGAACAGGAGAAAGGGUUGGAAAACAAAGAUCACUUUUCUCUGGCCAAAUGGAAUCACCCAACAAAGUACCUUCCUGAUGGGCCAGCUAUUUCAGAUGAUGAAGGUUUAAGAAGCAGCAUCAUCAGCGAACUGUGUUUUGAAGAUUUGAGGGAAGGGCUGACCUCAGGAUUUUAUACUAGGUAUUUGAUGCAAUGCAGACUGGAAUCCUCCCCACAAGGAUGCCCUGGCCUGAGUGGCACAGAGAUCAAUGCAGCAGUCAUUUCCUGGGCGGGGAAAGCCCAUCCACAGUGGCCCUGGAAUGAUGCUGGUCUUACCUUCUAUUCCUAGGAAGGCCCUAUCUCAAGUGGCUCUGGUCCAUGCAAACAGAUGGAAACGGGUGUGGGGAAGCACAGGCCUCCUACUCAUGUUAAGAGAGCUGCUCAGAGGCAGGAAUCCAGAACCAGGAAUGUCCCCAGUGGCUGCCCAAGGUACAAGUGGCAGGCAGCGGGGAGAAUGGCAUGUGAAGUCAUUUGUAACCUGGCCCCAGCUUGGUUUCCAAGUCUCAGAGGAGAUUAUGGAUAUGGUAGUGCCUGGCUCAGUGCUUAAAAUCCAUUCUCCUGCUAUUUCCCUCACCUACACUCAGCCCCACAAGCCGAGAUGUUUGCUGGACAUUUCAGGCACUGCCACCCAGUUCUGUCUACCUUACCUGCUAACACCUGUUGACCAUCCUUCAUGUGAAGGCUUCCCCAAAUACUUCCCAAUCAAAACACUAAAAGGCAGACCUGAAAUUAAUAAAAAUGUUAAUUAAAUCUGUACAACAGAAA